UACGUAGGGUGCAAGCGUUAAUCGGAAUUACUGGGCGUAAAGCGUGCGCAGGCGGUUGUGCAAGACCGAUGUGAAAUCCCCGGGCUUAACCUGGGAAUGGCAUUGGUGACUGCACGGCUAGAGUGUGUCAGAGGGGGGUAGAAUUCCACGUGUAGCAGUGAAAUGCGUUGAGAUGUGGAGGAAUACCGAUGGCGAAGGCAGCCCCCUGGGAUAACACUGACGCUCAUGCACGAAAGCGUGGGGAGCAAACAGG
rnacentral:rRNA from 1 species